UAGGGAAUCUUCCACAAUGGACGCAAGUCUGAUGGAGCAACGCCGCGUGAGUGAAGAAGGUUUUCGGACCGUAAAGCUCUGUUGUUGGUGAAGAAGGAUAGAGGUAGUAACUGGCCUUUAUUUGACGGUAAUCAACCAGAAAGUCACGGCUAACUACGUGCCAGCAGCCGCGGUAAUACGUAGGUGGCAAGCGUUGUCCGGAUUUAUUGGGCGUAAAGCGAGCGCAGGCGGAAGAAUAAGUCUGAUGUGAAAGCCCUCGGCUUAACCGAGGAAUUGCAUCGGAAACUGUUUUCAUUGAGUGCAGAAGAGGAGAGUAGAACUCCA
rnacentral:rRNA from 1 species